UACAGAGGGUGCGAGCGUUAAUCGGAAUUACUGGGCGUAAAGGGUGCGUAGGUGGUUUGAUAAGUUAGGUGUGAAAGUCCCGGGCUUAACCUGGGGAUUGCGCCUGAUACUGUUAGACUAGAGUACUGUAGAGGAAAGUGGAAUUUCCGGUGUAGCAGUGAAAUGCGUAGAUAUCGGAAGGAACACCAGUGGCGAAGGCGACUUUCUGGACGGUGAUUGACGCUGAGACGCGAAAGCGUGGGGAGCAAACAGG
rnacentral:rRNA from 1 species